GCUGUAAGCACCAACGAGUGAUCUCCACUUGGAGGCAGAGGGCUUUGACACUCGACAGUCCAGAGGCCAGACUGAGUGGGAGUUAGGGGAGCUUUAACUUGAUCCUGGUAGGGAGCCGGAUCAGCUGGAAGUGCUGCAGUACAGGUGCCUGGGGUGCCAGGUGGAUACAAUGAGGGGGCCUGAGCUAGUACUGGAAUCAUGAAAAGAUUCCUCCAAGAAGUGUGGUUAGGCCUGAGCUCUGGAUGAGGGAUAGGAAUUGUCUAGGCAAAGGGACAGGGCUGGAGAUAUAUCUGGUAGAGGGGACAGCAUCUGUGAAGGCCUGAAAUGGGGAACCGGAGGUGGAACAAGCCGAUGUGAUUGGGAAGAAAAACUAGGAGCGUGUUCUACGUAAUACACUGAGCUAUUGAAGUGAGAGACUUCGUUAUCUGAUGAAACUUUCAGGGAACCUCCUUCUUUCCCAUGCUGCAAUGUAGGGUUUUACUAUUUAUCUUAGAAGUAAAUUCCAUAUCUGAAGACUUCACUCUGUCAGAGCUACUUUGUUUUAAACUUAAAUUCUCCCUUUUGCAUUUCAGCUUGCAGCAUUGGAAGUCAGAAACUUCAGAGAGGAUGCUGAGCCAAUGGUCACGGGCACUAGACUUCUGGGAGCAUAUGCAGAAAAAAGAAUCACGCUUGGAAUGAAAAAAAGUGGAGGCUGGUCCCCUGUGCCAUCUACACCAACCAAGGCAGCUUCUGACUGAAGUUUCCUCAUCUGCAAAGUGGGGUUGAUCAUAGCAUCUCCUUAAGUGGCGGUGAUGUUGAAAUGAGACAGUGUGUGAGCAAGUGCUUUGCAUGAGGGUGGAAGAGUGAAGUCUGUGCCUUUGUUAUAGAAACAAUUAUUCCCUCGCCUCACUACUUUUCCACUGGCUGUUCUUUUUCCUGUUUUUAGACUAAUAAGUCCCUGGUGCCUUUUAUGGUAAACUGCCUCUCAUCCUCUUCGCAAGCAGAUUGCGCCUGGCUAGUAAAUUUAAUAAAAGUAAUAUGUCUUUGUUUCCUUUGUGGGCACCAAAGCCCUUCUCCCUUUGCUUCACAUAUGCCACCUUUUCCCUCUAUCACCCAUUCCUUUCCUUUGCUUCAUGAAUGUAAAGGCAACUCUAAUUGGUCCUUCUCUCUGCCUUCCCAGCUUGUUGUCUCAGCUGGUGCCUGCUCUGAACCUUCCAUUGAAAGAAGCCUAAAAUGAAAAGUGGGACCCCAGGCCCCAUCCCCCAAAGCAACCACUGUUACCCAUUUCCUGUGCCUUUUCAGAAAUAGACUACGACCAUGGACACAUAUGUGUAGAUUGUAGCCUACAUUUUCCUACAAAUUGGGGCCAUUACAUAUGGUGUUCCGAACCUGGCUUUUAAAAUUUCACAAUCUAUUGUUGAGGUCAUUUUGUGUCAGUACACAUAGAGUUCCUUUAUUCUUUAUUUUUGGAUGAGUAAUAGGAUGUGAUGUGGGACUUUUCCACUUGUUCUGGAAUUACAGCCAAGGGUCGAUGAUGUAAACAAAAGAUGCUAGGUGUUCCUGCAUUCUACAGAGAGCCCUGACCAGAGGCCGCCGUCGCCUCUGCAAAUAACUUAAGAGGACUUGGAAACCUUCCUUAUGCAUCAACCACCCAGGCAGGUUUCUGUGGGGAGCACACUAGGCCUGGGAGGAGGUGGAAAAUCAGCCUUGGGGACUUCUGUCUGCCUGGGGAGACGUGACUUCCUUUCCUCCCAAAAAGCUUCCUGUCAUGUAGGUGGAUGGGAAAGGGAUCCUGGAGAGUCACUUGUGGAGCUUGCUAGAAGGGGAGACAACGGGCCUUCAGCCUGAUGCUCGCUGAGCCGCGGAAUCGAGGGUCCAUAUGAGGGCACGCCAUGGAAGAAGGGCAUUGAGACAGCCAAGAGGAAGCUUGUG
rnacentral:lncRNA from 1 species